rnacentral:lncRNA from 1 species
GGAGGCGUGCAAGGUACCAGCCCCAGAUCAGAAAAACAUUAUCGCAGCUGCGAUAAAGAAUGGAGCCAGAUCCCAAACUACAGGACACUUGGCAGCCUCCAUUGAAACCGGGAGAGUGAAGCAGAGGACUGGGUCCACGGUGUUUGCGGUUGUUUUUAUAGGCAAAGGAGGAAUCUGGACCAAUACUUUCAGCAAAUGCAUCAUGCUGUCAUCCAGAUGUGCUCCUCUUCGUAAUUAGGUAGAGAGUAGAGUCACCCAGGAGACUAUCGCCCAGGAUCACCCGAAACAGAGGAAGAGUCUGUUGCAAGGAUCUCGGUACUCUGAUACACCGACAACAGGAGAUGGAAAAGCAGGAAUGGCAGAAACAGCGUGUCAUGGACCAAAUCAAGGAUCCGGAGCCGCCCGUUCCACAUAGAAACAUUUGCCCAAGUUGCAGCAGAGACUGUUGAUCCUGGAUCAGCUUCACCAGCCUCCUUUGGACCCACAGGUAAGACAGUCGUGGGAGAUGAUCAUCUUCGAUUG